rnacentral:rRNA from 1 species
CCUACGGGAGGCAGCAGUGAGGAAUAUUGGUCAAUGGGAGAGAUCCUGAACCAGCCAAGCCGCGUGAGGGAAGACGGCCCUAUGGGUUAUAAACCUCUUUUGUCGGAGAACAAAACCCGGGACGUGUCCCGGACUGCGUGUAUCCGAAGAAAAAGCAUCGGCUAACUCCGUGCCAGCAGCCGCGGUAAUACGGAGGAUGCGAGCGUUAUCCGGAUUUAUUGGGGUUAAAGGGUGCGUAGGCGGUCCGUUAAGUCAGCGGUAAAAGUGCGGGGCUCAACCCUGUCGAGCCGUUGAAACUGGCAGACUUGAGUUGGCGAGAAGUACGCGGAAUGCGCGGUGUAGCGGUGAAAUGCAUAGAUAUCGCGCAGAACUCCGAUUGCGAAGGCAGCGUACCGGCGCCAGACUGACGCUGAGGCACGAAAGCGUGGGGAUCGAACAGGAUUAGAUACCCUUGUAGUC